CAGCCUGUACAAUGUUUGUAAGGUUAUUCAGGCGAGGAAAGGAAGCAUGCUAAUGGCGUUGGCAAUGGUGUGUUACAUCACUACUGCUUUGAUGGAUGCGAAGCUUGGCACGGAAGGGCGCAAGGAUCUUUUUGAUUGGCUAUCAAGGCAACUUAGUGGAUUAAGCAAUUUUCCUGAUGCUGUAAAUCUGAAUUAUGUAUUGUUUCAAUUUGUUAUGCUAGAUGGAUGUGACUUGUGAAUGAAAA